rnacentral:rRNA from 1 species
UGGUCCCUACGGGAGGCAGCAGUGAGGAAUAUUGGUCAAUGGCCGAGAGGCUGAACCAGCCAAGUCGCGUGAGGGAAGAAUGUCCUAAGGAUUGUAAACCUCUUUUGUCGGGGAGCAAAAAGGCUCUGCGGAGUCGUAUUGAGAGUACCCGAAGAAAAAGCAUCGGCUAACUCCGUGCCAGCAGCCGCGGUAAUACGGAGGAUGCGAGCGUUAUCCGGAUUUAUUGGGUUUAAAGGGUGCGCAGGCGGCACGGCAAGCCGGCGGUCAAAUCGCGGGGCUCAACCCCGCCCAGCCGUCGGAACUGC